rnacentral:misc_RNA from 1 species
GAUGAAGAACGCAGCGAAAUGCGAUAAGUAAUGUGAAUUGCAGAAUUCAGUGAAUCAUCGAAUCUUUGAACGCACCUUGCGCCUUUUGGUAUUCCGAAAGGCACACCUGUUUGAGCGUCAUGAAUACCUCAAUCUCCAUCUUUUCUUCGGAUUGAUGGGUGACUUGGAUGUUGAGCCCUGCUGGUAUGCUAUAUCAGCUGGCUUUAAACUUAUUAGCCGGCUCUGUACUGGAUCGGUUUGACUCGACGUGAUAAUAUUAUCGUUGAGGAUGCAUGUCUCAUGCAGCCGGAAAGUAUCAAAGCAGCUUCUAGCUUGCCUUUAGUGCACUUUUACAUUUUAGACCACAGAUCAGGUGGGACUACCCGCUGAACUUAAGCAUAUCAAUAAGCGGAGGA